rnacentral:rRNA from 1 species
CACGUAGGGCGCAAGCGUUGUCCGGAAUUAUUGGGCGUAAAGAGCUCGUAGGCGGUCUGUUGCGUCCGCUGUGAAAACUCGGGGCUUAACCCCGAGCCUGCAGUGGAUACGGGCAGACUAGAGGUAGGUAGGGGAGAAUGGAAUUCCCGGUGUAGCGGUGAAAUGCGCAGAUAUCGGGAGGAACACCGGUGGCGAAGGCGGUUCUCUGGGCCUUACCUGACGCUGAGGAGCGAAAGCUAGGGGAGCGAACGGG